UCCUUGGUCCCCUUUAGAGGAAGUAAAAGUCGUAACAAGGUCUCCGUUGGUGAACCAGCGGAGGGAUCAUUACCGAGUUAUCAACUCCCAAACCCCUGUGAACAUACCACAACGUUGCCUCGGCGGGACCGCCCCGGCGCCCCUAGCGGCCCGGAACCAGGCGCCCGCCGGAGGACCCAAACUCUUGCUUUGAACAGUGGCAUACUCUCUGAGUCUCACAAACAAAAAAUAAAUUAAAACUUUCAACAACGGAUCUCUUGGCUCUGGCAUCGAUGAAGAACGCAGCGAAAUGCGAUAAGUAAUGUGAAUUGCAGAAUUCAGUGAAUCAUCGAAUCUUUGAACGCACAUUGCGCCCGCCAGCAUUCUGGCGGGCAUGCCUGUCCGAGCGUCAUUUCAACCCUCAGGGAGCCCCUUCGCGGGGGGGACCUGGUGUUGGGGGCCGGCCGCCCGCGCCGCCCCCGAAAUGCAGUGGCGACCUCGCCGCAGCCUCCCCUGCGUAGUAGCACAACCUCGCACCGGAGCGCGGAGACGGUCACGCCGUAAAACGCCCAACUUUCAAGAGUUGACCUCGGAUCAGGUAGGAAUACCCGCUGAACUUAAGCAUAUCAUAAGCCGGAAGGAA
rnacentral:rRNA from 1 species